GCGCCGAUGGCGGAAUUGGUAGACGCGCUAGGUUGAGGGCCUAGUGGGCUUCACGGCCCGUGGAGGUUCGAGUCCUCUUCGGCGCA
rnacentral:tRNA from 1 species